rnacentral:rRNA from 1 species
AAUGAACGUUGGCGGCAUGGAUUAGGCAUGCAAGUCGAGCGAGAAGAGUUUUGAAGCUUGCUUUAGAACUCGGACAGCGGCGAAAGGGAGAGUAACGCGUAGUUAUGUGCCCUAGGGUCCGGAAUAGCCACGGGAAACUGUGGGUAAUGCCGGAUAAUAUCCCCGGAUCAAAGGUGUGAUUCCGCCCUAGGAGCAGACUGCGUCCUACUAGCUAGUUGGUGGGGUAAUGGCCUACCAAGGCAAUGAUGGGUAGCGGGUGUGAGAGCAUGACCCGGCUGCCUGGGACUGAGAAACUGCCCAGAAACCUACGGGUGGCUGCGGUCGAGAAUCUUCGGCAAUGGGCGAAAGCCUGACCGAGCGAUGCCGCGUGCGGGAUGAAGGCCCUCGGGUUGUAAACCGCUGUCGUAGGGGAGGAAGGUUCCGUGAAGAGCGGAAUUUGACCUAUCCUAGGAGGAAGUACGGGCUAAGUUCGUGCCAGCCGCCGCCGUAAAAC